rnacentral:misc_RNA from 1 species
AAAGGAAAGGUAAGUACUUUACAUGUACCAUUGCCAAUAUCUUGAGUCCUUGGGAGACAUGAAAUGAAAAUUAAAACACCCAUGUUUAUUCUAUUUAUGGCUAGGCAUACACACUUUCGAAUGUCCAUCACAACUCAUCAGCAAUUUUAUAUAGUGCAAAAUAUGAUGAAACAUGAAGUAUUUAACUUAAAUUAGUUUCUGAUGAAGUAAAU